GGAUAAGCAAACUGUGUUUUUUUUUUAACAGUAUGAUUUUUCUACAUAAUUCAUAUAAGAUGCAAUAAAAAUUGACUAUAUACCUUUUGCUACAUAACAUGAGGAAAAGUUUAGGUUUUAAUGUUUUUAAUUGGUACAUUUCAGGUCUAGUGAAUGAGUUAUGUAACUGUGCACUCAGUCACAAAAUUCAAUCAUCAACAUCAGAUUCUUUUCCAGAGAAAUCAGGAACAUAGCCAUAUAAGUGCAGCUCAAAAGACAAAAGCUCCAAGGCUGAGUAAAUAUAAUCAUUCUCUUCAUGAUAUUUAUCACCGGACACAAAUUUAUGAAUGCCGGAAUCAAUCUCAAUGGAACUAAAAGCUAGAUUCUUUUGUAAGCCACGUUCUUUCAUUUCCCUCCUAACCUUGCUCGCACCAUCCCAUUUUCCAACAGCAGCAUAUAUGUUAGAAAAAAGCACAUAAUUUGAAUCUCCACCAGGGUACAAUUCAACUUGAUACUUCAUCACUUUUUCAGCCAAUUCAACAUCCCCUUGAGUCCUACAAGCUGCAAGCAAUGACCCGAGCACCACUUCAUUAGGCAUCAUAGGCAUUUUUUUUAUCACAUCCCAAGCCUCCUUCAACCUCCCUGCUCUACUAUAGAGAUCCACUAAGCAACCAUAAUGCUCAAUCCUCGGCGAAUUUCUAUGAUCUCUUUUAAUGUCAGCAAAGAUUUUCAGUCCUUCGUCAAUCAACCCAGCAUGACUGCACGCUGUGAGUGCACUCGUGUAACUAACUCCAUUCGGCUCUAACCCUUCCUUCUUCAUUGAACGAAAGAAACUCAAAGCCUUGUCAGCAAGCCCAUUAACCGCAAAACCAACAAUGAUCGAAUUCCACGACACCAAAUUUCGCUGACUCAUUCCAUCAAACACUUGACGAGCAAGCUCUAUACACCCACAUCGCGCAUACAUAUCUAUUAAAGAAUUCAAAACUUUAACAUUAUCCCUAAACUCUUUCUUCAUCACAAGUCUAUGAACCCACAAGCCAAGACCAAGUGCACCCAAAUUAGCACACGCGGAAAUAAUCGCAAUAACAGUCACAAAAUCUGGCACAACACCAGCCAGCUGCAUUUCUCGAAAACACUCAAGAGCUUCUUCAUAACACUCUUUCUUAACAAACCCACCAAUAACCACAGUCCAAGAAACAACAUUCUUCACAGGCAAUUUAUCAAACAGUUUAAGUGCAUCAUCAACAUCACCAUUUUUCAUAUACCCAUCAAUCAUAGUAUUCCAAGAAACCAAAUUUCUAACACCCAUUUGAUCAAAAACCAAUCUAGCAUAAUCCAAUUUCCCACAUUUGGCAUACAUGUCAAUCAAUGCAGUACCCACCAUCACAUCAUUCAUGGCAAAGCCAUGUUUGAAAGCGUGUGUGUGUAAUGCAGCUCCAAAGGUGAUGCUGGUUUUGGAGGGAGAGUGGGCACAAGCAGAGAGGAGAGUGAUGAGGGUGAUGUGAUUGGGUUCGACUUCGGCUUCGAGCAUUUGGAUGAAUUCGGAAGCUGCUUUGAGGAAAUUGUUAUUUUUGCAGUGGUGAGAAAUUGAGGAUGUCCAUGAUACGGUUUGGUUUGAGUUGGGUUUGUGUUUUAGAGAGAGUGUUUGGUUUUUGUUGGGGUUGUUUGGGGGAGAAAAUGUAGAGGGAGGGUGAAUUUGUGGAGGUUGUUUUGGAGGGUCAGGGUGGUGUGUUGGGGUUGCAAUGCACGUAGUAAGGAUCAUUCUUCUCUCAAUCGUGGUGGUAACUGAUUUUUGGUUGAGUACCUAUAUCAAAGUUGCUCAAAUUGCUCUGGACACAUAUGAUAUAGCCGAAAAACACUCUUUGGUGUGUUGGGGUUUUCGUUUUCUUCUUCUGCUACCAGUGGCGGAGCCAGACAAAAAAAAUUGAGAUGGCCGUCAGCAAAAAAAUUCUCACACAUUCAUUUGUUCAAGUUUUUUUUUUUCCAUUCCUAAAGCAGAGCAAUAAAAGGAACAAAACACAAACAGCAGAGCAAUAAACAAAAUAAAUCCUAUAAAGCUCCAAAAGAAACAGGACUGCAACACAAUAGCAGAAACACACUUCAGCCAACACCAAACCUACUAGGCAGCCACACAGUUACCAGCAUAUAUCAGACAAGCAGAAACACGCUAUAGCCAGCAGUAAACCUUCUUAACAGCUGCUCACAACACCCAGCAGCAAAUAUCAUCGGCCUUUCUCUUAAAAAAUGAAUAGAUUUUUUUAUUUUUCAUCUUGACUUUUAUACAGUUGACAAUGCUACUGCCAAUGAGAAACAAAUAUCAGUACAUGAGAAACAUAAACACCCAAUGACACAAAUCUACAAUUGAUAUAAAAAUAGUGUUAAGACUCAUAAUGAAACAAAUAUACAAUUGACAAUGUUACUCCCAAUGUGAAACAAAACAGCAACAACAUACACACCCAAUGACCCAAAUAUCACUACAGCAAGCAGCAACAUACACACCCAAUGACACAAAUAUCAGUACAGCAAUAAGAUACACACCAAAUCCACUAAACAAAUAUCAGUAAAGCAGUUGAAAAUUGAAUUAGGUAAGCAGUAUUAUUAACAAAAUCAAAAAUCCCCUUUUGUUUUGAUUAGGGUUAUGGGAAAAUUGAAGUUGAAAAUCAAAUUCAUCAACAAACAAAAGGAGAUUGAAGCAGUAUCGUUACUAAACAAAUGAAGAAUCAGAGAUCCUACACUUACAGUUUUUUAACAGUUUUAGGGUUUGUGGAGAGAUUGAGACAAAUGAAGAUUCAGAGUCAGAGAACGAUACAGAGAGAAGAGAUGGUGGCGAUGAGUUCGACGGAGGUCGCCGGUCGGGGCCUGAUUGCCGGUGAGUGAGGUAGAGGAGAUGGAGGUUCCCGGUCGCAGACUCGCGAGAGAGAAAUGGAAAGGAUACGCUUCUUUUCGUUAUGAGAAAAAAGGAAUGUGUGAAUGGCAUAGCUGUAAUAUUCAAAUUAGCUUAAGGGUAUUAUGGUAAUUUCACAAAAUUAAUGGGCAGGACAUCGCCAUACCCAGUCCUCACGUGGCUCCGCCACUGUCUACUACAUUGCUUUUGAAAGAAACCGUUUGAGAAAUGAAUGAACGUUUUGUGGUUAUACUCAACUGUUUCUCACUUUCACGCUGGCAAUGAUGAUUAAUUAUGUUGGUUGUGGUAAAAGUGAUAGUGUAAACAGUGUGAUUAAUUUGUGGAGUAAUUGCGUUGAUUACGGUUUGAUAUUUUUGAAUUCGAGAAGAAGAAGUGGUUUCUCUCUCUAAGAUGAAGAGAGAGAAAGUAAGAGGGAAAUGGUUUAUUUAUGGUUAGAGGGGGAUACACCGACAGCUGGUCUUUCAACUGCCUCUCACCUUUCAAUUUUCGGUAUUUAUUAUUGGAUUUUUCUAUCAUGUUAAGAAGUUUAAAAUAAAAAUUUUGUAUUAAAACUUGUACAUUUAAUAUUAAAUAUAAAACUUUUGAAUAAAUAAAUGUUGUUUUCCAAAAAAAAGUUACUACUAUUAGUUAUUUUAACAUGAGCAAUGUUGCACAUGUUAGACAAACCCUUUAUUAUUUUGAUUUUCUUUCAUUUUCACGUUUACUUAACUUUUUGAUAAAUCAAAACUAUAGUAGUAAUUCAUUUAAAAAAAAUUCUUACAAUAAUAUUUUUUCAAGUAACCUGGCGGACAUAAAAUGUGGAGAAGUUGAGUGUUUGAAGUUCAAACUUCAACAUUUACAUAUAUUAUGCAACGUCUUUAUCAAUUAAAUUAAACUUACGCAAGAGUCCAACAAAUAUUUUUUCUUACACGCAGCUAUCAAAUUGUUAACUUUAAAAUUCUCUACUUCACACAUGGUAGAUAUUUGGAUUUUGGACCACUAAUCAUUUCGUCAAUCUUUAAUCAAAGUAUAUAAAAAAAUAUGAGAAAUGUUAACCAGUGCUCCGUGACACUAGUUAAAGAAACAAAUAUAGUAAUAUUUGCAUGGAAAGUUGUGUAAUCAAUGCAUUCAAAACUUAAAAAGUGUCUUUUUUAAUUUACAAUUUCCUCUUUUGGCUUCCUUAACCAGUGUCUCUGGGGCACCGGUGGUUAACAUAACCCAACAAAUAUUUAUCAGAAGAAAUUAGUUCCUUAACUGUAUCUUUAUUAAAAUAAAAUCAUUUAAUGAAUCUCAUAUAAUUAGUCUCUCUUUUUUGUUACAAGGCUAAAGGAAAAAUAAAGAACAAUAAUGUUGAUUAAAUUAUGAUUAAAAUGUCUAUUAAUGGUGAUUUUAAAUUAGUGUAUAUCUAUACUGUUAAUCACGGAAAUGAAACAUGUCAAUUAUGAGUAGGAAGUUAGAAGGACAAUAAUGUUCUGUUUUCUUGUGAUUUUAGAAUUAGAAGGAAAAUAAGAGUCGGAAUUAUAAUAAAGCUAGCUCGAAAGUAACUUUAGGGUGUACUCGGUUGAGUAAAGAGAGUGAUAAGUGGGAAAAUCGUGAGAACGAUUAUGAAAAUUGAUUUUUUUAAGGGUAUUGUUUGAUUAGAUAAAAAGUGUGAAGAGGAAAGGGAAAUAUUAUUACGUUUGAAAUGAAAAAUAAUCGUAAUUAAGAAAAUUUAUAUAAAGUCAUUUUAAUUUUAGGCAAAAUUAUAAAUUUGAUCUCUUAAUUUUUUUCUUUCUUUUAAUAACCCAAAAUAGAACUAGAUUAAACAAAACAAUCAAAGUAUAAUUAAUGUUAAGAUUGAAAAGAUACAAAAGUCAAGAAACAAAAUACACAUAAACAUAACGGCGAUACCAACCCAACAAAAUAAAAAAAAUCAAAAUCCAAGGGUAGCUACACCUAAACACAUAGCACUCAAAUAUUCUAUUGAUAGAAAUUGUAGGAGAAUCCCUUGGCUUUAUUUUUACGAGAAUGGUUAGUGCUCCGGGGGUAUUGGUUAAGUAACUAAAAGAGGUAAGAUUUUAUUAAAAAGUUGUGUAAUAAUUAGUUAGUCAAAAGUAAUAGUUUAUAUUUCUAAGACAAUUUUUCUACUUUUUUUAUUCCUUAACCAAUGCUCCGAGGGCAUUAGUUAACAAGACAGGGCUAAAAUAUGGUUUUAGUCCCUGCAAAUAUGUCUCGUUUUGGUUUUAGUCCCUGUAAAAAAAAAUGUUUUUGGUCCCUGCAAAUUUUUUUAUUUUUUAAAAUAGUCCAUGACCCCAUUUUUGUGAUGAUUUGCAUACUGCCACAUGAUGACGGAACCGAUUUUAUAGUUUUUGGUCUCUGCAAAACAUUUUGUUUUUUAAAAAGGUCCUUGCAAAAUUUUUUGUACUAUUUUCAAAAACAAAAAAUUUUGCAGGGACCAAAAACAAAUUUUUUUUUACAGAAACUAAAACCAAAACGAUGCAUAUUUGCAGGGACUAAAACCAUAUUUUAGUCUUUUUUUAAUCCACGACCACACUAAAAGUUUCACCAAACCAAUAAGAUGACUUUAAAGUCUAUCUUGAUUGCUAAAAACAGUUUGAUUAUGUUGCGUUCAAAUCACCCACAAACAAGCAAUCCAUAUCAAGUGAAAACACUUCAUCACAUUUUUCCCAUGAAAAACCAAACCUAUAAAUUGAGUAAGAGCUUUUGUUCUACAAAGCACAACUAAUGUCUAGCCAAGACACAACAUCUGCCCAUAACUUACAAACUGCAUGACAAUUAAAAAACAAAUGACUAGAUGUUUCGUCUGUGAUACAUUUGUCCAUACACAAAGGGGGUGCUAUAUUGCAGACAUCCUUACGAGACAAGCUAUCAGUAGUUAGAAGACGAUCAUUUGACAAUAUCCAAACAAAUAGCAAAACCUUUAAUGGAACCAAAUUAUUUCAAGAAAUCUUAUACAAUAUAGAAUAGAAUCUAAUAUUAAAUCAAACUUAGAGAUCAGCUUAUAAGCCUGUUAACUAAGUAUAUGCCACCGAGAUUAAUAUCUAAUUGUCAAAUAUCAUCCACAUCAUCCUGCAAAGAAAUAUUAGCUAAGAGAGUAAUGCAUCCAUCAACUAAAUCUUCCUCCCAAACAAACAAACAAAAUUCUCAAACUUUAGCCCCUUCCUCCAAACCACUUGAAAACACCACGUCCUUCACCGAAACAUUUUGAUCAACUAAAAGAUUGAAUAACCUACUAAAGUGAUCCUUGAACACCUCCCCACCCAUCCACGACUCAAUACAACAAAUACAUAUCUAUUUUCUUCAACAUAUUCUUACAAAACCAUCUCCUUCCACGCCCUUCAUCACCCUUCUCAAUACAACAAAUACAUAUCUACCACCAUAAGUCUCUUCUUCGUUUUUUACUCACCAACUCAAUUAAAAGUCCAUAUUUCUCAACUAAAACUUUAUGCCAAAGAAGUUAUUUUUCUCUCUUUAACCUCAAACACCACUUUUCUAAGAGAGUUAGAUUAAAAGCUCUUGAAUUUCUCACCUCUAACCCACCUUUUUCUUUUCAUUAAUACACUUUGUCCCAAUGAAUCUUAUGACCCUCCUCAAUCAAAAAUAAAAAUGAUUUAAAUAAUGACUUAAUUAUAUAUAUUGUAUCAGGAGGAGCUUUGAAAAAGGAGACCUAUUGUUAUCAAAUUUGGUCUCUUAAAUUAUUUAUGAUUUUCAUUUUGGCUCCACAACUAAUUGUUGUUACGUCUAGGUCCAUUAACUGCAUUUAUGUUAGUCAAAUUGGUCUCUUCCCAUUAGUUUUUAACCUCAGUCCCUCUCAUUGUUGGCGUGAGUCAAUUUUCCGGGGGUGUUUUGGUUGGCUAUAAUGACUUACAUCUCCACUUUGACAACCUCGGUUCUAAACUUUCAGAAUGCAUCCAAUCUCGUAGUUAGUGUGACUUUUAUUUAAAUUUAAAAAUACCAUAAAUCAACUCGUUUUUUUUUUUGGUAGUGUAUUAUAAAUCAACUCGUUUACAUGAGAGCGAUACAAUCCAUAUCUUGGAUUCCAAACUUUUGAUGUAUUUUUUUUGCCUUUUAUUUUUUAUAUUUUAAAGAAAAUGUCUAUGAGAGUUGGAUGACACACUACAACAAAAACUACUUUGAUUUUUAUAAAACUUUAUGUAUCAAAUGAUUUAAGAACCAAUAACCAAUAAUUUCUAAGAACCUUGAACAAGUAUUUGUUGAUCUUAACAUUGUGUUAAAAAAAACUAGAUAUGAAAUAAAUAAGAGAAGUAGAAACAGGGGAGAAAGAAGGAAGCAUUUUUCUAGUUUUUUUUUUGGUUACAAGCAUUUUUCUAGUUUGAUUUAAGAAAGAACAAGUCUAUUUGUUUUGAAUUCAUCUGAACACAAACCAUCCAGCAUUGCAAUUGCAAGCAAGUGUCACGUUCAAUGAAAGAGGAACAAGAUGUGUAGCUCCUUUCUUUCUUAAUUCUUAUCGUUUUUUUAAUAGAAAAUGUUAACAAAUUAUAUUCUUAGAACAUUUUUUAAACGGGGCUUGCGCAAAUAAAUGGUGAAAUUUGACUCAUCGGUUUAAUCAUUUAUUGGACAGGAAACAUAGUUUUCAAAAAAUUUAUUAUUAUUUUUUGUUUAAAAAGGUGCAUAUUUAUGAUUUUGAAAAGUAUUUAAUUUGUAUUUUAAUAAUUUUUUUUUUAAGAUUCCUUAAACAAUACCCCUAAAACAUUUUGUUAGAUAAAAUAUAGCAGAUAGGCCAGAAGUUAGUUUAUACUUUAUAGCAUAUGAACUUAUCGUGAAUAAGAUAGCUAAUUAAAUUUGUAAUGUUUACUAAAAUUAGAUGUUGAAGUAGUUUUUUUUUUUUUUUUUUAAAACAAAAAGUAGGUAGCAAAGAUGCUACACUACGAAAAGAUGUUGAAGUAGUUUAUAAAUAUGAAAUGACAUAAAAAAAUAUGCGUUUAAUUAAUUUUUUUUAAAGGCUAAAGAAGUAUAUAUUAAUAAACCCAACCAAAAGUCCCCCCGGCACAUGGUGUACCCGAGAAACUAACAAUCUUGUGUGAUAAUUUUUAUGACAACUUUCUCUCUCAUACUCACAUUAUAUUUUUACAUUUCCUCUGUUGUUUUGCUUUUCUUAUCAAUAUCUAUUUUUUCUCUGUAAAUUUAUGGUUGUCUUAAAUAUUGUCAUACAAAUAAUUAUUCAAAUAACACACAUCUCCAACACAGCCACAUCACAAAAAACAACAACGAGAAGGAAGAAAGAGAAACUAGGAAACAACUCUUAUGCAUGACAAAGGAUUAUGUUGUCAAACAAGAUAAUAAAAAUUGAACAUAACAUAAGUCAAUUUUAACCAUCAGAAAGCAGCCCGCAAUUUAACCUUUUCUCUUAAACUUUGAAGAAUGUCUACCUUAUGUUGAAAAUUCUCUCAUUUCUCUCCUUUCAUAUGACUCAAAUAACAGAAAUUCAGAUAACAUUAAAAGUCAACCGAGCAUUGUUCGAAAAUCUCCCUAGACCAUCAAAUUAAAGAAGGCAAUCUUGUAAAUUGUCAUGAAGAGCCAUCGAAAAACCUAACCAACUAACAGGAAAUCAAAGACCAAAAUCUACCAUACAAAUCACAUUUAAUAAAGAAAUGAUCUAUAUAUUUCCACACCCUCAAUCUACUGAACAAUUAACAUCAGAAAUAGUUAAAAUAUGUCACCUAAACAAAGUAGAUGGUUAAAAUAUGUCACCUAAACAAAGUAGCCUUUGCUGGAAUCCGACUAAGGUCUAAGGAACAACUGCCAGACAAAAAUAUUUAUUUUAAGCGGGAUUACUUUAAGUUACAACACAUGACUAAAACUCAUAUUAAGUUACUUUAAGUUAUAACAACUUUUGUAUUAACUUAUCACAAAUUACUAUAAUAUCAUAAAAAUAAACUAUAUACUCGUGAGAAAAUAAUCAUUACCAAACGUUUUUUUUAGUCAAAUAAACUUAUAAGACAUAAACUAUAAACUUAAAAAUAGGUAUUGCCAAACAAACCCUUAUUAGGACGACUCUUUAAAUUUACUCCCCAACUAGUGAAAUUGCAAAUUGCUUAAAGAGUUUUGUUAAGGAGUGUCUUUAAAAGUAUUUGUUAAGAAUUUAAAAAUAAAAAUAAUUGAUAAUUUUUAUAUAAAAAAAUUGUUUUUUAAUAUUUCAAUGUGUUCAAUACAUAAAUUUAGGAUAAAUUUUUAUUUUCAACUUUUUAUCAAGUGUUAAAAUUGUUGCAUUUCACUUGCUUAAAAUAUGUUAAAUUUUUUUUCCUCACAGCCAAGAAAGAAUGAUGUCUAUCUUAAAAAUGUAUAUUUAGAAAUUUUUUUUUUCUGCCCUUGUUUGUGUCCAAAAAUACAAAAAUGCCUCACUUUUGCAAAAAAUUGCAUAAAUGCCCUACUUUUCAGAAUUUUCUGGUACCUUGCAACCCCCGCUUGCGGGGUACCUUUAAAAUUUUUUUAAAAAAUUUUAACUACCCCGCAAGUCAAAUUGGCAUGGUAUUUUUUGAUUUUUUUUUUUUAAAAUUUUAUUGCCUUGCAACCCCCACUUGCGGGGUAUAUUUAAAUUUUUUUAAAUUUUUUUUUAAUACCCCGCAAGUGUAACUUGCGUUCCAUUUUUUUUUUUAAAAAAAAAAAAUUAAAACCUUGCAAGCGGGGUAUAUUUAAAAUUUUUUUAAUACCCCGCAACCCCCACUUGCGGGUUUUUUUUUUGGGUUUUUUUUUUAAAUUUUUAAAAUACCACUCUAAACAAAAAUAAUAAUAAACAAAAAAAAUACUACAAUAUCUACGAUUAUUAUCAAACAUGUAUUAUUUCAUCUACUAUAAAUACUUCGUUUAAUUUUUCAAUUUAUCAUACCAUUUUAACUUAUAUUAAUAAUGUAAAUUUAGGCGUUGACAAAAAAGUAAUUAUAAUAAUAAUCAUAAUAUUUACAAAAUUAAAAAGAUACGAAAUACAAUAAAUAUGAAAUAAAGACUAGAGUUUUACUGAUGUCUAAUAUUAAUGCAAUCUUUGCGCGAAUGAUCAGGCAUCCUACAAACGCCGCAUCUUCUCUCAGUUUCCACAUCGUCCAUUUCGGUCCUAAUGCGAGUAAUUGGUGGACGACCUUUCUUUGCCCUACGCAUAGACUUGUCGGGAACCACCUUCAGUCCUUCAUAAUUAGGCCAAUAUGUCUGGUGGUGAACCACGUCGAAGUGGAUGUUGUAUACGGCGUAUACACACUCAUUCGUGAAUUUGUUAUCGACAAAAGUCUUGUAGUCAUGACAAAAGCUAGAACAUGCGGCAAUGACAUGUGAGCAUGGUAGGUGUAACGCUCUGAAUCGUCCACAAUCACACCAUUUAUUUUGCAGGUCUACCUUGUAUUCUCCCUUUGGUAAUCCUUCUCUAUGGUCGAUGGUUUCACGGACGGAAAAGGUAUACCGAUCCCGAUCAAACUGAGUGACAUGAUGACUGUUGGAUUUAAUCACCUCAUUCCUCAGAUAUUUCAUGCUGUUUUCUGAGAAUGGCUCACCAGAAUUUACCCUUGCCGCUGCCUCAUGCCCUCUUUUAGCAAACAAGGCCGCCAACCUGUAAUAUGAUGCUUUUACAAUAGCUGUGAUAGGGAGUCCUCGAAUACCCUUAUACACGUUGUUUUGUGACUCUACCAAGUUACUUGUCAUAUGGCCCCAUCGUCGACCAUCGUCAUGUGAUUGAGUCCACUUUUGUUUGGGAAUAUUGUCGACCCAUGCUAAAGCCUUUCGGUCUGCAACAGCAAUUUCAGAACGGUAAUAUUCGAAUGUAGGGAUGUUCAUGGCGUAACCUGCAUUGUUUGGGAAAAAGUUAAAUGUGUCUUUUUAAACAAAUAAUAUGUCGAAUUUACGUGGAAAGAGAUAUGAUUUUUACCCAUGCCUUCAACUUUCUUCUUAAGUUCUCCAUCCUUGAAUGAUCUCAUAAAGUUUUGUGCAAUGUGUCGGACACAAUACACAUGGCUUGUCGGAGCACCGUGCCAUCCAUUCUGUGGAUCAUCAUACGCGCUCUUUAUCGACACAUGUCUAUCAGAAAUGAGGCAUAUGUUCUCCUGUGGGGUGACAUGCUGCCUUAGAUUCUUCAAAAAGAAAUUCCAAGCCUCCUUGGUCUCGCCUUCCACGAUUGCAAAAGCAAUGGGAAAUAUCUUGUUGUUCCCAUCUUGCACAACAGCUAACAACAAUGUUCCUUUGUAUUUACCAUACAACCAAGUUGCGUCAAUUUGGACAAUGGGAAAUAUCUUGUGUGCUAUAUUGUUGUUGUGGUAGACUUUGGUGUUGACUAGAACUUGAUGGGUAAUUUAACUCAACAUUAGAUGUUGGAUUCGUCAUCUCAAACAUAACAUAAAGCUCUAUAUAGGACAAAGAACUGUGACUUUUAUGUACGUUAAACAUAAACUCGACAUCGUCGUUAUCUGUUAUUCUUAACGCCUGGUAGUGAAUUGUGGUAGUUCCAACAAACAUGGGAUUCCGGCAUAUAAUUUCAGACACAACCAUGUUAUCUCCGAGACAUAACUUUUUCACUAUUCUUUUUUUGAGAUGCAAGUAAGUACUAGCCAUGCUCACUUUAAAACCUUUGGUAUACUGACUUUGGAAAAAAAUGCCGGAUUCAUUUUGUUUAACUUCUCCAUUGUAGUACAUAAAAAUGUUUAUAUUUGGUGCCAUUGAAUGGUUUGAUGUUAAGAAAUGAGUAAGAGUAUGAAGUAGAGUGGUGUGAUACAAUUAUAAUUAUAACAGGUUCACCACUUUUAUAAAAUUGGGUAAAAAAUAAAACGCAAUGGCCAAAUGCUUCGUCACGCGCCAGCACGCACCAGUUCAUGGCAUCACGCAGCUCCCACUUGCGGGGUCGGGCACUCACGCGCCAUCUUCAUGCCAGCACGCUACUCCCACUUGCGGGGUAUUACUUACACGCGCCAGUUUAAUUGGCCCUUCAGAUAUAGCUGGUCAGUACAAAUAAUGCAUCUACCAUGCACGUGAUUUAGCAUGGUUUGGUCAUUUCAGUCAAAAAAUUUAUGCAGAAAAUAAUGCAUUUUUUGCAUGCAAUGGUCAUUUCUACAUGCAAUUGUCAUUUCUACAUGCAAUACUGUUGAACAGCAUGCCUCUGCUUUUACAUGCAAUUGUCAUUUCUACAUUUAUUUGAACACUGUUGGCAUGCAUGCAUUGCAGUAGUAACACGUGAUUUCUUCACUUCAAUUAAAAUACGACACUACUAUUUCAAUUUCUUUACACAUAGUUUAACAUUACAAAUACCACAACCUUAUUCUUACUCUUUACUCUUUUUAUAUCAAUCCUUUUCUUCCUUAAUUCUUACUCUUUUUAUAUCAAUCCUUUUCUUCCUUACUCACUCACGUAACAAAUGGCAUACUUGUGGUUGGAAAAUGAUCUUAGAUCCACGGAAAAACACAUCAGAAGAUGGGUAUAUAUGAAUAUUAAUUUGUUAAUUUUACUUACAUUUUUUAAAUUACUUAUUAUAUCUUCUCUUUUUAUUUUUUGUUAGGAUGCAGAGGGUGUACCUCUUGUCACUCGUACACGACAACACAUAGUACCAAGUCCUUUUAUUCAAGAUUAUCUACGUCAAGCUGGAUUUUUUGAGGUUUCUCAAAUAGAGCGUUACAAAAUUGAUAGGCACAUUGUAACCACUCUUGUAGAAAGAUGGCGGUCCGAAACUCAUACUUUUCACUUUCGAACGGGUGAGUGUACUAUCACUUUGGAAGACGUCUAUAUGUUACUCGGCUUACCUUUUGGAGGUUCAAUUGUUACGGCUCCUCCAACUCUUCCGUGGAAUCUUUGUGCUCAUUUGUUGGGAAUAACUCCUCCGGCACACAAAACUGAUGGUUUUACUCUCUCCUUGUCGUGGUUAAAGGAUAAUCUGGUCGAUAAUAACUUCAAUGAACAAUCUCCUCCAGAGGUAAAAAUACAACACACUAGGAGGUACCUACUAUACCUCUUUGGAGGGUUCUUGUUUCCAAAUACAACUGGAUUAUUUGUGCACACCUCUUGGUUGUAUUUGUUAAUGGAUUUUAAUGAAACAAGAAAACAUAGUUGGGGAUCGGCAGUUUUGGCUUACCUUUAUCGUGGCUUGUGUGAGACCUCACAUCCAAAUAUAAAAGCACUAAAUGGAUGUCAUUUCUUGUUACAAGUUUGGGGAUAUUGUCGGUUGAGUUAUAUCGCUCCGAGAAAUGAUAACCUACUCCAGUGGCCGCUAGGAUUAAAGUAAGCGUGGCCAAUUUUUUUUUUUAUUAACCCACUCACAUAUUCUCGCUUCUUAUUAAUAUUAUUAUUUGAUAAAUUAGCUACUAAUUUCUUUAUAUCAUUUGUUAGAUGGACAGGUGUAGGUUCAAGAUACUACGAGAAUCCAAGCCAUGAUACUAUAUCUUACAGAAAAAAGUUUGAUGACAUACUACCACAUGAUGUAAUAUUUUAAUUGAUUUUUGAAUUAUGAGUUCAUAUAUAUAUAUAUAUCAAAAUUGUUAACCUUACACUACAACUUCUCUCUUGUGCCAGUUUAAAUGGAGACCUUACAAGAAGGUUCCAUACAACCAGCCUGAAGACUAUUGGAAAUGGACAGCAACAACCUUCCUUAUAUGUUUUGACAAAGUUGAAUGACAUCCAACUGAUAGGGUCAAGCUUCAAUUUGGUUUGCCACAAGAAAUACCCGGGGUCCCAAGAGACAUGCGACAAUUUCAUACGGUGGACAAACGAUUCAAGACGUGGUACCAAUCAAACGGUUUUCGCUUUCCAGAAGAAAUCUUACAUUGGGACAACCGACAGAGUCAUACUUUACCUCGCAUGCGGCCAAGAUCACUCACCCCAACUCAUGCGUAUAUUGAGUGGUUGACAACCACAUGCAACCCACGUCUAAGGAUUUCAGUUGACACAAAACCAUCAGAUUCAGAUCCAGACGAACAAGAAGAGCUGGAACAUGAACCCGAAAUUCACAACAACCAAACACCAAUUCAUGAUGAUUUUUGGGAUCAAGAAAUUUUUUCUCAACUACAAGAUCAUCAAUCCCAACCACAUACAACACAAAACAUUCAUGGUUCUGUAAUGUAUGAAUUUCUCGCCACCCCCCAACAAAAUGUCAUCCAACCACCACCAUAUACCUCCCCGAGAAAUGCAUAUGAGCCCCAUUAUGAGUCAACUUACCAACAAAAUUCAAUGCCAAAUUAUGGUUACAAUGACCCAAACCAAGCUAGCACAUCCAACACCAACUACUUCUCCUAUAAUGACUCAAACCAAGCUGGACCGUCCAACACCAAUUACCCCCCCUACAACAGCCCACAAUACCCAAUGUACACCAACCAAAACUACAACCAUCCACCAACACCAACAAACCUAUUAUUUCACUUCUCUUCGGCUUCGUUCAACGACAAUGAACAAUUUCUGGAUAUUGGAUGGCAAACAAGGGAACACGAUGUGUCGUUGUCAUUGGGUUAUGGUAGUCAAAUACAAUCAGCUACAGAUAACAAUGACGAAGACCAACAUGACCCUCAAGUAAAUCGCGGAAGAAAUCGUCGAAGACGAGGGUGUGGGACGGCCGGGCAUUUAUAAUAAUUGUAGAUAUUAUGAUAUUUAAUUUGUUUAUUAUUUUUUUUCCUUCUUUUUUGUUUAUUAUUUUUUUUGUAUUUAAAAAAAAAAAUGGAACGCAAGUUACACUUGCAGGGUAUUAAAAAAAUUUUAAAUAUACCCCGCAAGUGGGGGUUGCAAGGUAGUAAAAUUUAAAAAAAAAAAAAAUCAAAAAAUACCACGCCAAUUUGACUUGCGGGGUAGUUAAAAUUUUUUUAAAAAAUUUUAAAGGUACCCCGCAAGUGGGGGUUGCAAGGUACCAGAAAUUCUGAAAAAGUAGGACAUUUAUGCAAUUUUUUGCAAAAGUGAAGCAUUUUUGUAUUUUUGGACACAAACAAGGGCAGAAAAAAAAAAAAUUUCGUAUAUUUACUGCAGACGCAUCUUCAGCCAGCCCAUGAAAAUCUCUAUUUUAGAGCAGAAUUAGCCACACAAUCACAUCAAUCUUUUUCACAUUUUUCAUUCGGGAUGACUUCAUACUGUCAUUGGAUGAAGACAGUAAAUUUCAAACCAAAAAAGUGAAAUAAUCCAUAAUUUCCAUUGCCAUAAUUUCUGUCUAGUCGACUUACUCACAGUGGUACCACCAAUCAUGACUACUUUUACCUUAAACACCUAGUACAAGUACAUGUAGCGGUAACGAAAUAAGAAGAAACAAUCACAGUUACACAAGUCACAACACUGCGUUUAGUUUAGUAGGACUUUAGGAUUUUAUUUUAAAUUUAAAACUAGUUACAACGGGUUCAAUAACGUAUUCGAUAAAAAAAAAUUUGAAAGAAGAGAUGUUAAAACGACGGAACAUUGUGAUUCAUCAUAAAAUAUAUAUGGACUGAUUAAGAGAGCAUAUAAUCAGUUUAUGAGAUUAUGAAUUGACAUAAUAUUUAGGAUGAAAACAAUUGGAACCAAUAAAUGAACCAAUGAUGUUUGAAUUAUGAUUACAUAUUAUCCCAAAUUAUAAAAUAGAGUGUUAUUGUUAUAGAGUUACCAAAAAAUGAUUGAUACCCAUAUUUACAUCAAAUGAAAUAAAGCAAAGAAGUAGCAUCGGUGAGUGAAGAUAAUCUAGUCUAGGAUUAGAGUUAAGGUGAUCUGUUGAAAGUGAGGAUCAUGAACACCAAAUCUUUAUUUGGAAACGACUUGAACGUGCAUAUUUUUAGGUGGCUUCUCUAGAUCAAAAAUUAGCUUGUCACCUACCUCUAACAUAUGUUCUCGGCAAAAUUUGAACCAUUGGCCGCCUAAGUAUUUUCGUAACUUGCUAUCUUUGUCGUUAUCAAGCGACACUUAUACCUUUUUUUGAGCUUGUUUGUCGAUGAGUGUGAUUGUUUUUCGUGUUCCUUUUAGAAAUGUCAUCGAUAUCUCAUUUGAGAAGUGCUAGGUACAAAACAAAUUGCAGUGUUAAUUAGAUGUUAUAUAUAUAUAUAUAUAUAUAUAUAUAUAUAUAUAUAUAUAUAAGUACAUUUCUAAAACAUUUACCAAAGCAUUAUAAAGAUUUGCUGUAGAUAAAGAGCAUGUUCUAUUUUAUUCAAGAGAUUAGGAAAACAACAUUACAAUUAACAUGAUACUAAUUGGAAUCAAUGAAGGAACCAACAAUGUGCAGAUUAACGUUAUAUAGUAGUUAGGUUUAUAAAAGAGAUUGUAAGUGUCAAAGAUUAACCAAAAAUGGAUUUUUGCCAAUACUUACAUCAGACAGAAUGAAAAUAACAAAUGGCAUCCCAAAGUCAAGAUAGUUUACGAUUACAGUCCAAAGUGAUACAUCAAAAUAGUAGAAGUUCAAAUAGUUCAACAACAAAGAUCUACGUUGGAACAACUCGAACGUGCAAGUUCUUCUGUGACUUUUCGAGAUCAAAGAUGAGCUUACCACCUUCUUCCAUCACUUGUUAUCUGCAGAAAUUAAACCACUGCCCACCCAAGUAAUUUUCAUAGCUUGCUCUAUCGGCAGUAAUGAGGUGACAAUUAUAUUGUCUAUGUGUCUGGUCAUCAAUAAGAGUGAUAGUUUUGCGCUUUCCUUUCAGAAUCGUUCUUGACACCUCGUUUGGGAAAUGCUAAACAGGAAAAUAACUGCAAUAUUAGUCUAAUGCAUAUUUACAUGGAUAAGAUGUAAUCGAAUAUAGUUACAUAUAAUUUAUAAAAUAAAGGUAGCAUAACUGAUUUUAAGCUAAAGAAAAUGUAACAUGACUUCUAAUUUAUCUUCCUAUAAAGUCUAGAUAAAUGCAUGCAUGUACAUUAUAUGUACCCCGUUGACCAAUUAACAUUGUUGAAACAAAUGGAAAUUAAGCAUCACUUCCGCAUGUGCAUAUAUAGCUAGCACCAUUUGACAUUGAUGUCUUCGAACAUUUAGUGCAACUCUCAUAAUACAAUCCAAACUGGUUAGGAUUGAAUUUAGUUGUUUUCCAGAUAGUGAUGCAAUAUGUUUCCUAACACAAAUUAUGCACCUAAAAUAAAGAAUAAUGCAAUAUGUAUUUUUUAAUUUGUGCGUAAAAAAACUCAAAGCAUGUUUGUGCAUAAAAAAGCAGACAUUGACUAAGUUUAUAAAUUCAUCAAUUGGCCUAACCUGAGACAGUUUGGAAAAAUCGUUGUACGAAGUACGUUGAGAAGAAGUCGAACUCUGACUUAAGUUCUAACUGAAGCUUUGACUCUGAGCUUGAGAAGUGUUAAGGUCACGACAACAAUUCAAGAAACAUGGUCAAAAAACAAUUAAAUCGAAAUGUGAAAAAUAGGUUACUCUAACACUGUAUUGUGAAAUCAUAAUGCAAACUUACUAAGUCUUAAACUUAUCAACAACAGGAUGAUGUAGGUUGAUGAGCAACCUCGAACCUGACCAAUUGUUACAUAUAUUUGGGUUGCCAUUGACUACAAAAUGGAAGCAAAGAACUCAAGGUAAAUAGAUGGUAAAUGAUAAAGCUACGGAGUAUUUUUCCCAUAGUGUUACAUCAACUAUAUUCCUACUACAUAAGGAAAUACAUUUCUCGGGUCUUUAUCAAACUUAUACAAAAUUCUAUCAUCUGAUGCUGACAAAAUAGAAAAUAAUAUCUUUUGUAUUUAGCAAUGUUUAGUUUUUUUGAAUAAGAAAAAGAUAUGCAUAGUUUGUUACGAUAUAAAGGUGUAAUAUAUACACACAUAAUUUAUAUAUAUAUAUAUAUAUAUAUAUAUAUAUAUAUAUAUAUAUAUAUAUAUAUAUAUAUAUAUAUAAGAUAAGCAUAAUUUUUUUAGGCAUCUAUACCUUUUUUGAAGAAAAGACAUCUACAAUUUUACUUUUAAUUAAAAUCAAAAUUUUAUAAAUAUUAUACGCAUUAGCGUAACAAAAAAACAGACACACAUAAAGUAUUACUCUAAACGCUAAUAUGUGUGUCUGUAUAUUUGCAAGGUUGAAGAAAGAAAAUAAAAAUAUUUUGUAUCAUUAAAUGAUAACGUGAAUAAAAAUAUUUGUGAGGUUGUUAUAAUUAAACGAUAUUUAAAUUAAAUAUAUAAGUGAUAAAAAGAUAAUAAAAUUUCUUUGAAAAAAAGGUAAUAAAAUUAAAUGGAACCUCCUUUAAAAAAUUAAAUGGAACGGCUAAAAAAAAAUUAAAUGGAAGAAAAAAAACAUAUUGAAAUAUAAUAUUAGAAAAUAAAAGAAAAGGUUCCCAGCGUGAGUUGAAAAGAGGUGCUUGUGAAAUAUAUUGUCGAGAAGUAGUUUUUUAAAAGUAGCAUUUAACAACUUUUGGCCAAAACUCAUUCCAUUUAAUUUUAUGCAUUAGAAAAAGUUCCCUUUCUAGUAACUGAAUUUGGGAGAAAAAAUUGGAAAAUAGUUAAAAAUAAAAAAAUUGGAAAAUAGUUAAAAGUUUUUAAAAAUAUAAAAAUUGGAAAAUAGUUAAAAAUGAGAUAGCACUCAACCAAGCAACACUAAAAAAAAUUAUAUGCAUCAGCGUAACAAAAACGCAGACAGACGGCCAUAAAAUAUUACUCUAAACAGAUAUAAGUAUUGAUUCUUUAAAAAAAAAAAAACAGAUAUAAGUAUUGAGUACAUCACUCAUAUAUACAACAAAUAUUACAAAAAAAUAAACGAUAUUCAAAAGAAAAAAUACAAAUAUUUUAUGAGUGAUGUAUUCAAUUUAUUUAAAGUUAAAAAAUUAUUCUUCUAAGUCAAUGUAAAGGGUGUGGUUAUCAUGCAUAAAGAAAUCCUUAUGCACCGUGCAUAAAUCUCAGCCCAUUAACCGGUAGCCCAACAUAAUUGCUUCAUACACUCCUGAAUGAAACCAAACGCGGGACAAAACAAAACGAAUCAAAUGCGGAAACAAACUGAAUCAUCACCGUCGGUCAUCAUCAUCACCACCAGAAUCUUCAAUCUCAUCAUCAACACCGUAAUUCAUCAUCAUCACCGUCAUUCACCAUCAUCAUCACCGUACCGAAAUCAUCAUCAUCAUCACCAUCGUCAUUCAUCAUCAUCACCGUCAAUCAAAAUUGUAUAUGUUAGUUGGAAAUGAUUUCAGAGUGUUGAUUUGGUUCAAUGACAGUCACAAAUGUCCUUAUUAUAGUAUGUUUUGUAUAAAAUUAUGCCAAAAUCAUUUUGCUGUGGAAAUGGUUUUUGUGAGUUGUACUCCAAAACCAUUAGAUGUAUUUAAUGGUUUCCAGCAGGUGAAAAAAACUAAGGACCUAAAGCCAUUGCCAUCAUUCAAUUUUGGAUUGACACAAUUGGAGGAGGAGGAUAUAAAUGGUUUAUGUGACUUGUACUCCAAAACCAUUUUGCUGUGGAAAUGAUUUAUGUGAGUUGUACUUCAAAACCAUUAGAUGUACUUAAUGGUUUUCUUUGAUCCAGCAGGGUGCAUAUUACAAUCAAAAAUAAAAAACAUAUGGAAUUUUCUAACCAUAACAGAAAAUUUUCAAAACCAUUCAGUCACCAACUUUGAAUUCUUAGCAACAAAAUCACAAUUAUCAGAAAAAUUUCCAAUUUGAUUUCGACAUUUUCUCAAACCAGAUCCAUCAUCAAUUUUCCCAAUCAAAUUCAAAUCAAUCCCUAAUCCCUCCAACUCAUUACUCCAAAUUCCCCUCCUCUUCAACGCUGUCCUUUCACAAUCAACUUCAAUUGAACUUCUCUUCCGUCGCCGACGCGUGUAAACAAACAAAAGCGGCGGUUUUGGAAAAUCCUCCACAAAAAACAACGUCAUCUUAGACAUGGUUUUUUCAAUUUCAAUCGUUGAAUCAUCGAUUUCACCAUUACUGAACUGAAUCUCGUUCUCCAGGAUUAUUACUGAACUGAAUCAUCAAUUUCACCAUUACAAACAAAAGUUGGUGCUUGAAUUCAAAGUUGAUAGACUUAGGAUUAUUACACGUGUAAAACAAAUCUGAUGGUUGUGAAGUGUUUAUGUAGGGUACAUAAGAAAAUGACUUAUGCAUAAUAACUUUUGCCAAUAUUUAUGUAGGGGAAUCUUAAUGCAUAUCCAUUCAAAAAUUAAGAGAUGUUCAUUAACAAUGUGCACUUUUAUAUUUUGAAAAGAAAAAAAUUACAUCUGUAUAAUUAUUUUGUGAUAACUUUCUUUCUACAAAUGCUUGUUCAAAUAACACACUUUAACGUAAAAGGUGUACAUUGCUAAUCAACGUCUUUUAUAUUUGUUGCUCCAUGUUGUAAUAGGUUUAGAGUACUUCUUGUUCUCUUGUUGUCUAUUUUAUAUAAUCUUCUAUUUUUUUUUUUUUUAAAAAAGUUGUUUGUCCUCAUAAUCUCAAUUGUUAGAAAAGAUCUCCAAAACAUUUGUUGAAAUAUAACAAAAAAAUUUCACAUACACAACUUUUGACAUCAGACAUCGUAUAAAUAUGUGUUGGAUUUUGUUACUAUUAUUUCUCUCACUUUGGUUGGAAAACAAACUAGCUCGAGAUGUUUUUUAUAUACGGUGUCGGUUUUGUGUGUUAAAAUAACACUCCUCGAAAUAUAAUGGUCAUGCAACAUUCUCAAAUAAUGUGGUCGGUUUUAGAAUGUGUUUAUUAUGUGUGUGUGUGAUUGAGGUUGGUAAUUUCCUUCACAAUAGUGCUAUAUGUCCCGAGUUAAAACACAACGAAUUUAUCUAAAAGAGUUUCUCACGUUAGAUUAGUCCAAGGCUGAAAAAACAUAUGGUGGGAUGCAAAAGAGGGACCUACUACAAUAAACAGUGUAUGGGAAUCUGUUCGGGAUACAUUCGCGUCAAUUGUGCUCGCGAUAAGAAGCAUUUUCCUUUCCUUCAAGGAAAAAAUCUCCAAUUGCUGGUCAAGGUUAAACAUUCAUGAAGGUAUGUCAUUUGGUUUGCUUCAUGCUAUGCAAUAGAGAUGAGAGCUAGACAUGGGUAUUGACAACGUCACUUUUGAACUCAAUUCAAAAUAAUUAGUGGUGAGAUUCAAUAGUUAGGAUCAAUGCAAUCCAUCCAAACAUUCUAAAUCCUUAUGCUUUAUACCCUAGAAAUACAUUUUUGUUAAAGACAUCUAGGCCUCCAAACAAAUUAACUGAUACUAUUGAAUUGACACAAUUUCUUCCACGUCUUUUAUCUUAUUUAUUUGUAACACUUUAAUCGUCAUUUAUCUCUUUUGACACUUUCAAAUCUUUUAUUUCUAUGGUUUCCCUUUAUCUUUCUCUUUUGACACGUUCAAAUUCUUUAUCUCUAAAAAUGCGUACAAGUUAGUCAUUAUUUUUUGUAUUUUAUUAAAACAACGCUGAGGUGGCUUGCUAAGAAUUAUUAUUAGAAGUAAUACUUUUAUUUUUAUAUAACUUUUUUACUAAAAAAACCUGAAAAAAAAUAUCUUCAUCUUUUUCGUAUAUUUAUCGAGUUCAACAUCAUCUUCAAACCCAUAAAACUUUAUUAUCAAAUCAACAUCCUAAAUCUUCAAAUUUGUAGUGGCUCAAGAUCAAAAUCCAUGAUCUAUCAUAAAAAAGAAACUCAACUAAGAAAGAAGAAGUUUACAACACAUCUUAAUCAUCCAAUUGUUGAUGAUUCGAAGUUUGCAACACAUAUCAAAAUCUCAAUUUAAUUUCAUCAAUUUCCGAGUUUAAGAUGAUGAUUAAAAGAGAAGAAAAUUUGUAGGUUUGGUGUUUUUUGGGUUCUAAUUCGAGCUACUAAGAUUUAGGGUUUUGAUUUAACUUUAUGGGUUUGAAGAAGAAGAUAGCUAUAGAAGAUAUUUAAGAUGAUAAACAUAUAAAAAUAAAGAUGAAGAUUGCUUGAUUUCAAUUUUUUUAUUGAAAAAGAAUAUUUAAAAAUCAAAUUAUUAUUAAUAAUCCUACAUGGCAAACCGCCUCAACGUUUUAAGAUAAAUAAGAUAAAGAACAAUUUUUUUGCUAAAAAAAAAGAUAAAGAACCAUUUCAUUUGAAUAAGUUUGCCUACUUAAUACUAAUAAGUUGAUAUUUUGCAUAAUUUCCAUGUAGCUUAGUUGGUUAGUUGAUUGAAGUGUGUGUUUGGUUUUCCAUUUGCAACAUACUAAAUCACAUUUUCCAAUACGUUUUGUCGUGACUUUUAGAAAUUCCAAAUAUUAACUUCUACGAUAACAUAAUUUUUUGUUGUGAUUUUCAUCAAACUCCGUUUUGCAAACGUUGUAUCAAAUAGACACAAUUUUUGUUUUUUUUUUUUUUUUACUCUUGGGUGGGAGACAAAGUUAUGCAUAAAACAAGCUGAUUGUUUGGUUUAACCCGUCCUAUGUAAGUAACUUCGAUAAUCUGUUGUUAAGCCAAGAGGCUAGCAUUAGCCAAUAAUUAUUCAAAUUUAAAUGAGUACUCCAAUAAGAAAGAUUUCAUGAAAUGUGCAUGUUAUUAUUAUAAUAGUAAAGAUUCAUAGAAAAAUCGGAUGAAGACCUUCAAUGAUACUCUUUAAUUUUGAACUUGAGUAAAAAUUUAGUAAAUAAUUCUUACAAAUUGGAAUAUACAAAAGUGAAAUCAUGUAAGCAGAUUAUGCGACAGAGAGAAUCAGAUAUGGCCACAUCCCCAAAAAAGUUGUAUAGACUCAGAAAGGAAACAUGACGUAUAUAUUGAUGCUCCUCCUAUCUUUAUUUGACAUUCCAAAUCAAAUCAUAAUAAUAAUAUAAAAUCAUAUCAUAUCCUUUCUACUUUUUAUAGUUCUUUAUUAACUUUUGAUAUCAUAUUUUUUAAGAUAGAUUUUGCAUAUGGCAGCACCUGCAACCAGGUAAUUUUCGACAACCAAAUAUAUAAGACGGCUCUGUCACAUAGAUACACAGAGGUAGCAGUGAAAACGUACAGAUAAUGCUUCCUCAUUAGUGUCUUUAAUCAUUAAUUUCUUCCCAAAUGGCUGCAACACCCAUCAUUCUAAUUUCUAAUUUUUAAUUAUUAAAUCCUUGAAUUAUCCCACCAUUAUAAAUAUAUGUGUCUUCUUCUUCACAACAUGCAUAUUAAAUUAACCUAGCUACGUAUCUCCAAUAUUUAUAAUGGCUUCUAAGUUCAUCUUUUCUUCUGUCUUUUUACUUGUUCUUUUCUGCUUGCUUUUUAUCAAGGAGACUUCUGCAGGUUAAUUAAUCUUCUAUUUCUGUUCUUUUUAUUUCUUUUUUUUGAAUAAGUUAAAUUUUUUCAUGUUUCUUGUUAAAGUAUAAUUAUUCAUUGUAUUAGUAUAUAUAAUAAAUAAUUUAUUUUUUACUUGUAGGUUGCAAUACUGCAUAUGCAUGCUCUUAUGCUAAUGGCGAAAGUCUCAAAAUGUUCCAAAACAGGAAGGUUUGUCACACUAUUUUAGGCUUCUAGCAUAAAUACAUAUAUCCAUUUUUUUCUAUGAAAAUAAAAUAUUUAUUUUUAUUAUAUAUUGUGCAGAUGCUGUCUGGUUUGAAGGUUAGUUUGGAAGGAUCUUCAACCAAGAUCAAGUAUGGUGAAAAGACAGUGGUUGGAGAGUUGAGAAAGGUUCCUACAGGUCCAGAUCCACUGCACCAUCAUAACAUUGGCAACCCUAUUAAGCCUGAAAACCCUUGAACUCAUUGAAGAAAAACUAGUUUCUAUGUUUUGGUCUAGUAUUUGUUACAUGUAGUCAUGUGAAAAUGGAAGUUUAAGUCUAAGUAAUUUUGUUUGUUUUGUCAUUUUGUAGAAACAUGUAGCUUGUUAAUUUCUGUUCUUUCUUGUGUUUAUUAAGAAGUUUGUAAGCUCAUUCAGUAGAAUUUAAUUUAUCAUCAUCUUUUGGUAUAUAUCUCUUGUUUUAAAAUUAACAGAGGUUCCAUGAUUUAUUUUAAUAUAAAUAGAUUGUGAAAGCAAUUUAAGUAUAAUAAUAAUAAUAAUAAAAAGCGAGGAAUUUUUUUUCUCUCAAAUAAAUACUCAAAUUUUGGCCAUUAAAAUUGUAUGACUGUAUCAAAUGUAGUUCACAUUAAUGAUAUUGCAUAAUGAUACUCAAGUUGUAAAAUUUUAAUCAAAUUUGUUCUUCCGUUGGUAUUUAGAGUGCUAGAAAUAACGUUAUAUUAGUACAUCAAGGAUGAAUUUGAAACUAAGUGAGUAAUACCAUGUAUGCAUUUGAUAACUAAUAGAUUCAAAUAGAGUAACACAUGUACCCAAAAAAAAAAAAAUCAAAUAGAGAAACAUAUUUUUAGGUACCUUUGUUUUGGCUAAAGCUGUGUCAUUACCGUGUACUGUUUCGACUGAUGUAGGAGAAGCGUUUGGGUUGCACGCUGCUCUCCAAUGGUUGAGCGACAUGCAGUUUGAUAGUGUGGAUUUUGAAACAGAUUCUAAAUUGUUUGCUGAUGCUUUUCUCUCUGAUAGGAACGACACAUCCGAAUUUGGCUGCAUUAUUUCUUCUUGUCGUUCGUUGUUCACUGCUUUAUUUUUCAACUCUCGGGUGGAGUUUGUUAGGCGACAAGCCAACGAGGUUGCUCAUGCUCUUGCAAAAGAAGCCACAUUACUAGCUAGUCCCGUUGUUUAUUUUGAGAUACCCAAUUAUAUUGAAAUUAUUAUUAUCAAUGAAAUACUAUAAGCAUGUUUUCUUAAAAAAAAAAUGAAUUGUUUUAGAAUAUUGCAAACGUAGAGAACUUAAUUAGGUUGAUGUUGAACCUCCACAACAAGGGAAAUUUAACUUCUUAAGCCUUUGUACCAAACAAAUAUCUCCAUUGAAGAGAAAAAAAAUAUACCCAUAGAGAAGAGGGUGUUACUAAAUUUUUUUGAGGUAAUUAUAUAUAGUUUUUUUAGGAUAUGAUGAUACAAAGCUGUUAGUAAAUCUUGAUAAAAAAAAAACUGUUAGUAAAUGAUAUAGUUAGUAAUGUGAUUCAUUUAAUAAUUUUUUUUUUUGAUGUAGUGAGUUAAAAAAAACAAAGUGGUUAUGAAGUAUACCAUUAAUAAAUUAUAAUUAACUUAAGGCUUUUUUUGGUUACAAUUAACUUAAGGCUUUGUAACAACAUAGAUUACUAUAUUUUUAAUUUUAAAAAUAUUAUAACAACACAUAUUAAAUUUGAAGAAUUAAGAAAAAUUCUAUGGUGAAGUCAUGAGAAUGACUUUUCUGGUGAAAUUAAUACUAUAGCAUCAAAAGUGUUGCGAGUAACACCUCACUGUUUGUACAGUGACAUCAAAAGUUCAGUCCUCAUAGUAUCAUCAAUUCAUCAAAUUAACAAGAAUACACUUAAUCUAAUUUUUUAUCCUACCUUGUUUUAAGUGUAACACCCUACAAAGUGUAACACUUAAGACUAUCACAUGAUACCAGCAACUCUGUUUCCAUGUUAAAGAUGCCAACGAUAAAAUAGUACCGGUAAGUUCAAGAUGUUGCAAGCAUUAUUAAACAUUAAAAUUAAAAUUAGCUUUUUCAAAAAAGUCAAUUUCAUGAAUGCACCAUAGAAGCUCCCUUAAUAUAAACCUUCCAAAACCCCUCAAAAUCCUCCUCCAAAUUUUUUUAGUUCCCUCAAAUGAGGAGGAUUUUGUAUAAUGAAGAAAAGUUAACCUCCCAAAGCCCUUAUCUCCCAUUUUUCUUUAUUUCUUCAACUUGUUCAUUCCUUUUUUUCCAAGCCUUCCCCUUUAAACUCGCAAGCAAAGUCCCAGUGUAUAUGUAAAAACUCAUCCAAGUACUUAAAAAAGAGAGGUUUUAUAUUCUAGAAGAUCUUAGCCCUACAAUUUCUAUGAGUAAAAACAACAACUAAGUCUUACGGAGGUUCCUUUUUCCACCAAGUGUGUUCGUUUAUAUGGAUCAAAUUAAUUACACUAUAACCAUAAUGGUUUGUCAUAAACCAUAUUUCAGUUCAACUCAUUACGUUUUAAAUAUUUUAUAAUAGUUUUUCUAAUAUAUUUUUUUUAGGUUUUCAUUUGUCUAUUUUGAUCUGAUUAUCCUUAAUAUUUUAUAAUCGCUCUUUUGUAUAAUGAAGAAUCAAUAGAUCUCUUUACAUGCUCAAACAACCUAAGCAUAUUUUCCCACUAUUUUUUCUACUGUAGAUGCUACCCUGAUUCUUUUUCUAAUAUCAUCAUUUCUAAUCUUAUCUCAUUUAAUUUUACCACAUAUCAAACGUAUCAUUCUACUUUUCGCUAUGCUUAUUUCAUUUUCAUAUUGAUUCUUCACCAUCAACAAUUUGAAGGAGUAACAUGAGUAUUUAUUUGUUUUCUCUAUAUUUUUUAGUUUUUCAAAUCUGUUUGUGUUUUUUUCUGUAUUUUGGUUACAGCUAAUUAACGGAUUGGACAGAAACAACGUUGACAUGAUGUGUUUUUAGCUUUUUUCGUCAGGAUACUACAAAAAUAUACUACUCUAUAUACGCAGAAGAUUUCCUUCAAGUCUUGUAAUAAAUAACUAACUUGAAGUUUCUAUUCUCAAAUGUGUUUGCUCAUGCUGACGUUGGGUAGUAGGAUAUGAAAGCAAUCAUUACUACUUGGGGGACACAAUUUAAUCAUUUUUAUUUCUUUAAAAAUCACCCAAGUAUCUAUAUAUUUGCAACAUUCCAAAAGCAAAUUUGGCAUCAUCUUAAUUAAGAAAAUGUUAAUUGAAAAAAAGUUGUUAUUUGAACAAUUAUCUUAUUCACAACUUCUGGGACAGUCAUAAAUUUACAAAGAAAAUGAGGUAUUGAAAAAGAAAAUUAUCAUAAAAGUUGUAAAAAAAUUGUUAUAAAGAUAUCAUUUUCCUUGAAAAAAAUCAAAUAGUCCAAUUUUCAUAACACCGAACUCAUCAAUUUCUAUAAAAACUUACUAUUUAAGGUUGUCGAAGAGUGCCCUUAUAAAAACUUAUUAUUUUAUUUUUUUCUGCAAUUAAAAAAGAAAAAAAAUAAGAUUGUCCCAAAAGUUGUAUAAAAUGGUUGUACAAAUAUCAUUAUCCUUUAAAAUAUAGUAUGAUGAAUUUUAUAUUUUGUGUAUGUUAAACAUUAUGGAAAAUGCUAAAGAGUGUUAUUAUGAUUCUUGUUAGAGAAAUUUAUAUAGAAACAUUCUUGUGAGAAAUGGUGAGAAAACGUUGAUUCAACUUUUUGAAUGUUUAAAAGACGAGGAGUGUUAUUUGAACAACCAUUUGGUUGACAAUUUAUGGGACAACCAUAAUUUACAAAGAAAAAAUAUGUUACAAAAAUCAAAGCAACAGAGAGAUAAAUUAAAAAAAUAAUGUGAGUAUGAAAGAGAAAGUUGUAACAAAAUAUGUAAGGUUUCUACUUUUUUAAUUCUUAACAAGUGUCCUUGUUAGCCAGACCCAAAUAUUAUUCUAUACCACUCAUUGAGGAUCACUUUUAGGAUGCACAAAUGCAUAAAUUGUCUUUGAUGCGCAAGGGUAAUUAAGCCUUUGAUUUUAGGCUAAUUAAAUCUAAGGUGGGCGAGUGAACUAAGUCUCCCACCAUGAGUGCGUUAUGUGAGUCGUUUGAUGAGUGAGGUUAUGAAGUAAAUUUCCCUAAUGGCUUCAGUAGCUCAUAAUUUUCAAAAAUCGUGUUUCUUCCCUCUUCUGCUCGUCAAAAGGUGAUUUUUCAUUGACCUAGGUGUCUAAUAUAUAUAGGCGAAUGUUUCCCAUAAUUUCAAGAACAGUUGGCCCGCGAUGCAGAGUCUUCCUGUCGCGACGCAAGUUGAGAUGAGAGUUAAUACCUUACAUUUUCUUUAGAUCCCAUGGCAUGCAACUUAUAGUACAUGACACAAGUUGAUGCGAGACUGAACAUGGCUAAUUCCCUUGAGAUCUUGCAACGCGUAGCGCAUAACAUACAUCACAAGCGAGGCCAAGGCUAGGUUAAGCUAUUUUCUUCAAUCCUUGUUCCAUUUCUUCUCACCAAAACGUCUUUAAUGAUUAUACCCCAAUAAUCAAUCAUGAUAAACUUGUAAAAAGCAUAGCACAGUCACAAAGUUGUCUGAUUUUGGUGGAUUUUCAUGGUUUCAAGGUUAUUUUCCAGUUUUUUUUUCCUGUUCAAGACUUUUUAUCGAAUCAUUUAUAAAACUCGACUAACAUACAAUCUCACUUGCUACUUUAACUCUAAAUUGACUCAAAGGAGCCAAAAACCCUAUAUGAUUUUCUGUCAUAUGUAAAAAUGGUCAUGUCAAAGUUUUUUAGUUAAAAUUAGUCAUGGUCAAAAUGCACAUGAGGGGCUACUAAUUAUAAAAGAAGGUGAAAAUGAAGAGGGUGAAACUGAAGUAAAAAAUACAAUUAAACUUAAAUAUAAUUAGAGACAUAUGGAUACUAGUCAUUAUUUAGGUUUUUUUUGGAUGUUAAACCUCAUCAUAAAAAAGUACCCAAAAAUGAGAGGAGGAACAAAAUUUUCAAUAAAGUUAAAUCGAGGGACCAAAAAACUAGUUUUUUAAAAAGGGGUCGUAAACUUCAUUUAUUGUUUUUAUUUUAAAUAAGGGAAUCAAAAGUGCAUUAAUUUUAGUCUAUUUUUUAUUGUAAUAAAUGCAUUUUUCACCAUUUAAUUUUUUGUGCGAAUUCAAUCCCGAUGUCAAAAAAAAUAAAUUUGUGCGAAUUUGUUCCAUGGCAAUAAAAAAUUUAAAAAUAUUUCAAAUAUAACAAUAUUAUAGAGUCAAAUUAAUUAGAAUUUACUCAUAUUUCAAUUACAAAUGAUGAUUUAUUUUGAAUAAGAACAUAAAUACUUGAAGGAUCAUGAAUAUGGCUUGAAGGAAAUAUAAAUAGUUGAAGGAAUCAUCCCCAAUCCCCCGAUUUAUGGCAUGUUUUUAGUUCCAACAGAGUUAAUGAGUCUAUUGUGUAAUGGGUUUGGACCUGAAGAAACCAUCCUCGCCCUUCCGAUUUGUGGUUUGUUUUCAUCCUCAACGGAAACACUGUCGCUAUUGUGUAUUGGGUCUGGACUUGUAGGAACCUUCGUCAAUCCUCUGAUUUGUGAUUUUUUUUCAACCCGAUAGGAGUCAGCGACAUUCUUGUGUAUUGGGUGUGCAUAUGGAGGAACCUUCCUCAACCCUCCGAUUUGUGAUUUGUUUUCAUCCUCAAUGGAGUCAAUGUCGCUAUUGUGUAUUGGGUCUGGACUUGAAGGAACCUUCCGCAAUUCUCCAAUUUCUGUCUUUUCCCCAUAUUUGAUUCUUGAUGACGAUGAUCCUUGCUUACCAACCUUUAAAAAUAUAACUUUUGUAUUUCAAAUUAGACAAAGUUUUAUUUUAAAAUGUCGAAUAUGCAAAAAUAUUUUUAUGAGUCUUUAAAAAGAAAAUAUUUGUAAUGUCAUCUUCCUUUGUAAGAUUUGGAAGAACAAAAGUAUGCCAUUUCUUUGUACUAAAUUAAUUAGUUAAAAUAUAAACUGUUUUUCAAAAAUAAAAAUUAAUAUGUAGACAAGCCUAUAACAGUGUGACAAACCUUCCAUUUUCCUAUCUUAUUUAGACUUUCUCCAUUAGCAUCAACGCAUGCAUACGCAGAACUGCAACCUGCAAGUAAAGAAACAUUUAUUUAUCAUUAAUGAAAAAAAUUACUCAAUAAACACAUGUUCAUUUCUUGUAACCAAGAAAUAUAUGAAUUUGCAGCAAACAGAAAAAAUUGUUCAUUUCUCCAAAUUAACGUUUUCUAGUACCUGUUUAUUUCUACAAAGAUUUUAUUGUUGCUAGCUACUGUCUAUUAUUUAUUAUAUGAAUGCUUUAUAGUCCAAAAACUAUGUACUAACAUGAAGUAAACAAUGCUAAAUAAACAUGAAUAAAACCUAGCAAAAUACAAACCAAGUUUUUUUUUGAAAAAACUAAAUGUGAGAAACGGAGUAUAGAAAUAGAAUAUUGACAAACCAGAAGUCUCCCUUAUAAGAAGCAAUGAAAUAAGAACAAGUAUAAUGACAGAGGUAGGGAUGAAUUUUGACGCCAUUGGAGUAGAAGAGAAAUAUUAGUGGUGAAGAAGACUAAUGCAAUGCACGUAAUUAUAGUCAUGUGUGUGAUUCAAGGAUUUCAAAGAAAUGAUUAAAACAUAAAUGCACAUAAUCUUGUUAUCAAAUGGUGGGGCUGUAUGUGUGUGAUUGUUGAAACGCGUGAUUUGAAUGUAAAUGCAUAUCUGUCUUUAAUGAAUGCACAAUGAUUUUGUACUUAGAUUUUGUACUUGACAUCUUUAAAAAGUGAUAAUUUAAUCUUCAAGUUUUGUGCAAACCCUAUCUAGAUCGUUCAAUGUUAGGCUGAUCAUAAGACGAAUACGGUCAAAUUAGGCCACUAUGAUGUAGGCGAGUUUUCUUAGUAAUUUAUUACUAUUUUAUUAUUUAAGUCUAUCUUUAUUAUUAUUUUUUUCUUUUCAGUUUGUUAUUUUUAGGCUCAUUAGGGUUUGUUAUUUUCCUAUUUAAGCUUAACAGAUGUAACCUAAGAGGCAUAACUUUUAUUCAAUCAAUAAUACUUUAGAGUUUUUUCCUCAUUUUUUGGUGGAUUCCAAAACCCUAUUUUCACAAGUUUGUCGCUUGCAAACUUGUUCUUUUCAAUCGAGGUUUAGCGCUUGCUAGCCUACGCUUCCGUACUGCGUCAGUUGGUAUCAGAGCAUGUUUCUCAUGUUCUUUUGGGAGAUCAACCGGUUAGGAGGGCAUAUAUUGACGGAUUAGCUGCGACCAUCAAAGCUGUGGCGGAUCUGAUGACGGCGUUAUCCUCAACAACCACGACUCGAACGGUGGUGUUGACGGCUAAUAUUGUCAACAUCAACAAUAACAAAAAUCAAAACAUGAUAUGUGAAUAAAUUAGGGUUUCACGUGGUGGAAACAAUCGAAAUAUUGAGUCGGUGUUGCAAAAGGAGACUUUGACAUUCAAAUCGAGCGUUGCACUUGACAAUAAUCCGAUUUUCGGAUCUUCGUUGUUGCAGGUUUAUGUAGAUGAUAUAUUCGAUGGAGUUAGUGAAAAAACUGUCGGUCUUGAUGAUUUAUUAGAUAAGAUUGGUGGAUUGCAUGCACCAAGCGCUAAAAGUUCCAUUAAAAAAAAAUAGCAUGAUUUUGAUGACUUCAUGAUUGGGUUUGGUGGAAGCAGCAUAUCCAAUAAUGGGAAAGCAAGCAUUGAGAAGAAUAAUCCUCGGAAACCAACUGCCAUAUCUCAUAAUGAUCCGUUUUUAGUAUUUGAAAGCACAACAUCUUCAAAAUCAUUCCUGGACUCAUUAGAGCAAAUCACUAAGAAUGGUUCUAAACAUACAAGUGGCAGCUCAACACCUCCCCAUUAUCGAGGCCUUCUCCCAAGCCAACGAAUGUUUCAAACUCAAUCAACAGCUCAAGUUUAUCAUCAUCAAUAGAUGAGGUUGAGAACUUUGCCAAGGGCCGAGUGUAGAGUAAUCCUAGUAGAAAAGCAAAUGGCAUAACAUGUGUGCAAGAAAUCAAUUCAGCAAACCAAAUAUUCAACAACAAAUUGAAAGGUCUUGUUAAGUUAUCUACGUAAAUUCUUAUGGUAUUUUUCAAGAUAUUAUAAGUAACCCUUCAGCUUAUGGUUUUAGUGUUAUAAAUGUUGGAUGCCGUGGAGUAGGAAGGAACAAUGGUCAAAUUACAUGUCUACCAAUAGUGCACCGAGACAUUAAACCAAAGAACAUACUUGUGGUUGUGGAUGACAAUAUGGAGCAUAUUAUAGCUGAUUUUGGCACUGCACUACGCAAGAAGCAGUUUGAGGAUUCUGAUUAAUUUCAUAGGUUUCAUAAUCACUAUUUCUCGUGUAUCACAGGUUCCAUAAAUUUCAAUCAAUAGGAUCUAAGAGGGUGGUCUCUUAUUCAUUGGAAGAGUCAUCAUGCAUGGAAGCACUUUUAUCAGAACAAGAACUGGGAGUCGAGUUCUUCAUAGAUGGAGGAGACUCAUGUAGGAGGGUUUCCUUAGUAAUUUAUUAGUAUUUUAUUGUUUAAGUCUAUCUUAUUAUUUGUUUGUUUUAUUUUCAGUUUGUUAUUUUUAGGCCUAUUUUUUUGUGGUGGUCGGGGUUUAAACCCUAGACCUUGCAUAUCCUAUUCAUUGUCCAUACCAACUGAGCUAAGCUCACGAGGAGGACUAUUAUUUUCUUAUUUAAGCUUAAACAAAUGUAGCCUAAGAGGCAUAACUUUUAUUCAAUCAAUAAUAUUUUAGAGAGUUUUUUCUUAAUUUCUGGUGGAUUCCAGAACCCUAUUUUUACAAUUUUGUCGCUUGCAAACUUAAUCUUAAUCUUUUUAAUAUAGGUUUAACGCAUGCUAGCCUACGCUAGAUUUAGGGUGAGUUUGUUUGAACUUAAAAAAAACAAUUUAUGUUAAAACAAUAUCUAUAGAUUUUUUGUUGAAAUUUAAAAAAAAAAAUUAAACUAUUUCUGUUUGCAUCUAUAAAAAAAAAACUUUUUUCCUACCGAAUUAACCCUCUUAAUAGACACAAUCCGGCCACAACACCCAAACUUGUUCCGUUUGCAAAGUGUUUUUGCAGCAUUUCAAAAGCCACUGUCAAAUACAAUGAUCAAUCAAAAUAGAAUAUAGAAUCCUUAAAAAUUUGAACAACUCUCAUAACAUAAAUUCCUUUGUUUCAACCUAUUAGGGGUUUGGUUUAUUAACGUCAUGGCCAAACCUCAUGAACUCAAACCAUUAUACGCAACACUUCUCAACAAAUGUUUUUCCUCGAAAAACAUAAACAGCCUCAAAAUAAUCCAUGCACGCACAAUUCGUUUAGGUAUUUCACACGAUGAUUUCAUUCGAACCAAACUUGUUUCUUGCUAUGCUUCAUGUUCCAAAUUGCACCAAGCAAAUAUUCUUUUUUCAUUCACAAAUCGCAAACCCACUUUCCUCUACAACUCUCUCAUUAGAGCCUAUUUAUCUCUCAACCUAUUUAAAGAAACGCUUUCGCUAUUUCGCGAAAUGAGGUUGUCUUAUAAACCCUUUGAUUGCCAUACUUUGCCGCUUGUGCUAAAAUCUUGCGCUGGUUUAUCGGCGUUAAGGCUUGGGAAACAAGUUCAUGGAGCUGUUUUGGUAAAUGGGUUUGCGUUAGAUUUGAAAAAUUCUAAUGCUUUGAUAAACAUGUAUGCUAAAUGCGGGGAGUUAGAGUUUGCGCGCAAAGUGUUUGAUGGAAUGUGUGAAAGGAAUGAGGUUACUUGGUCGACGAUGAUGGCGGAUUUUGGAAUGCAUGGUAGGUUUGAAGAGGUUUUUGAGAUGUUUAAUAGAAUGGUGGAAGUAGGAGAGAGGAUGGAUAGUGUGAGUUUUACGGUUGUUUUGACUGCGUGUAGUCAUGGCGGGUUUGUCGAGAAAGGGAGGGAGAUUUUUGAGAUUAUGAAGGUGAGGUUUGGGGUGAAACCUGAUGUGAGGCAUUAUACAUGUAUGGUGGAUAUGUUGGGGAGGGUUGGUUUAGUGGAAGAAGCAGAGAAGUUGACAUUGAAAAUGGAUGUUAGGCCUGAUGAAGCUUUGGUGGGUGCUUUGUUUGGAGCUUGUAAAACUCAUGGGAGGGUUGAUGUUGCUGAGAGAGUUGCAGAGAAGUUUUAUGGGACAGAGCUGAGUGUUGUUGCAUCCUCAAUUUGAAUUCAAUAUACAUGAUGUUUUCUCAUAACAAGACAAGGCUAUAUAUAGACUAUAGUUCAUUCUUUUAUAUCUUUCUAGCAUAUGGGACCUAUCUCAUCAUGGGUGCUAGAAAACCAACCGAGGUUUUAAUUUCCCUAUAGCUACAUGUAAAUGAGAUGAUAACUGUUGGUGUAAAAUUUUUCUCUUUCAAUUUCAACUGCAUCAUUUAUUUAAGAAUAUAGUUUUGUUACUUUAGUUCUUAUUUAACAAAUUGUAAAUUCCAACAUAGUAAUAAAGAUCUAGAGAUUAAUGAGUUAGAUCAAAAUAUAGUUUAUGAUAGAACACUAUAACGUAAUUUGAUCCGUGUAGCUGACUCCAUUUAGUGGAUAAGACUUGGUUUUUGUUAUUGUAUUCCAGCAUAAUACAUUUACCACUUAAAGUUUAGACAAGGAACACCAUUAACAUGUUGCAAUCAGUCAUAAACAUAGUCUACUGAGAUAGAAGAAAAGGAUUGGAAGAGGAAAGAAAAUAGAAAAAUCGAAAAACGGAGGGAGAAAAAAUGAAAAUUUGAGAUAAGCAAAUAAUCAAACACACACGCCAGUAUACAUAAAUAGAAAUCUAGAUAGAGACAUUGUCGCUUGUAACAUGGAUAAGCAAACUGUGUUUUUUUUUUAACAGUAUGAUUUUUCUACAUAAUUCAUAUAAGAUGCAAUAAAAAUUGACUAUAUACUUUUUGCUACAUAACAUGAGGAAAAGUUUAGGUCUUAAUGUUUUUAAUUGGUACAUUUCAGGUCUAGUGAAUGAGUUAUGUAACUGUGCACUCAGUCACAAAAUUCAAUCAUCAACAUAAGAUUCUUUUCCAGAGAAAUCAGGAACAUAGCCAUAUAAGUGCAGCUCAAAAGACAGA
rnacentral:lncRNA from 1 species